ACGAUGAUGACAAUCAAUAAUAAUGAAAAAAAAUCUCCCAAAAACACUCAAUAAUAAUCAGUAAUUACAAUCCAUGUGUUUCUUAGUCUGCAUCAGUAGCUUAUUCUCUGCUUGGUAGCAUCCAAAUACACGUCUGUGUCAAAGAGAGAGUGUGUAACAUCGGCAUACAGUACAUACAGUUGGAGCAGCAGCAACACAAAGGAAACAUGGAUAGCUCCGAGAUAUAUAUAUAUAUUAUUUAAAGAUUUUACACCGUACCUUUUGAAUUCUGUCCUUCUUCCAUAUUCUCUUCCAUUGUGUCUGGGUUUGUGUCCACUUCGAUUUCAAUACACAGAAAUUUCACAAAGCCUCUCGGUCACAACUGUAUAAAGCCUCCUCUCGGCUGGGUGUGUGUACAGUGUGAGUGUGUGUUGGGGUGUGUUUUGUCCCCUAGCUGUGNNNNNNNNNNNNNNNNNNNNNNNNNNNNNNNNNNNNNNNNNNNNNNNNNNNNNNNNNNNNNNNNNNNNNNNNNNNNNNNNNNNNNNNNNNNNNNNNNNNNNNNNNNNNNNNNNNNNNNNNNNNNNNNNNNNNNNNNNGCGAAACAAUGAAGAUGGAGGAUGGAGGAGUGAAACAACGAAGAUGGAGGAUGGAGGGAUGGAGGAGCGAAACAACGAAGAUGGAGGAUGGAGGAGUGAAACAACGAAGAUGGAGGAUGGAGGGAUGGAGGAGCGAAACAACGAAGAUGGAGGAUGGAGGGGUGGCAGCGGAAGAGGGACGGGAGCUCAUAUAACAGUCUGAUGUCAUGGCUAUGACCCAGACCCAAAUUGCACACUAUUCCCUAUACUAUUCCCUAUAUAGUGCCCUAUGGGUCCUGGUCAAAAGAUGUGCACUAUAAAUGGAAUAGGGUGCCAUUUGGGACUGGGAAAUACAUACAGGCAACGCUCCAGAAAGCUUCUCAUGUGUGAUGCACUGCCUCUUGCCUCCACAUUUAAUACACAUACACGGUAGUUGCUUUGGCAUUUCUAGUCUCAGGGACAUUCAAUAAUAUUAUAUUAAAUGACGUUUGGGCUGUGUUGGGAGAUUUUGUGUAUCCGAGAAGGAUGGUGUUUUGUGUAGUAUGUGUAUUAGAGUGCUAUGGCUGCAGGCUGUGGUUGACUUGACUUGACUUGUCCCACCCAUGACCUGGAUAACAGUUAUACUGCGAAAUGUGUGUGUGUGUGUGUGUGUGUGUGUGUGUGUGUGUGUGUGUGUGUGUGUGUGUGUGUGUGUGUGUGUGUGUGUGUGCAUAUGAGAGAAGGAAAUCAAAAGAGUAGGCCUGAUUAAGAGUGUCCUCAUGUGGAUGUCAUGUGUACACACCCACACACACACACACACACACACACACACACUGCUUAGCCAAGUCAUUAGAUGGUGGUGAACAGAAGGAGGAAGAAAAGGACUAAAGGAAUUAGCUGAUCACAGACUCUCGGCUUGGUAUUACUCAGUAACCAUGGCAACGUACUCUGGUAGAAAUGCAUUGUCAGCCGGUGAAGAAGAAUAUGCACAAAACACCUGUUAGAAUCUACCUGAUUUCUAUACAUGUGUCUGAAACGCUCAAACAGGCAUAUCUCCAUGUUAGGUCUAUGGUAAACUGCCAUGGAACACACUGAGCAUGCCCUGCAUGUGUCUGUAAGUACCAGGCUCAUAAUAAGCAUACAAGGCAGUCAGAGAGAGUCCAAGGAAACGCUACAAUAGACUGCAGGAAUCAAUACAGGCCUGUUGAGAGCAACUCCAUUAAGAGGUGAAUGGAAGAAAGGAAUAGAAAACAGAGCGAACGAGAGAAGGGUCAACAGAAGAAGAAUACAUGUCCUGCCAAAUUCUUAUUUGAUCAAAUCACAGUACAUAAACCUGUAAAAGAAGGAUUAGCAUCAUUUGUGUGUUUUACUGUCGAUGGUUUCGCACAGAAAGAGACUCGCAGUUAAUCUGACAACAAAACACUACCUUCUCAGAAAUGUUUUACUUUUUACACAUAGUACUUAAUCUAUUGUGAUAUAUGGAGAAGAAAUUCUAACUCAUAACAACAGUUUCCAUCCUCUUUUCCAGCACAAUGUGUAUGAGGACUUCAUGUCUUAUUUAGAUUAGUCCUAAAAUGUUAUGUAAGCAUGCUAUGAUUACCCAGAAUGCUCCCUGUUGAAGCUCUGUGGGGGGUCUGAAGGUUGUGGUUCUCAUCUACCUGUACCCACCACUGUACACGCACACACGCACACACACACACACACACACAGUAUGUGUCACCUUCCUUCAAGUAAUAUUGAAGGGAUGAGAACGGACGAGGCUGUCUAAACCUUGGAUCACGGUACCUCUGUUUCAUUACAGUAGACUAACAGAUCUAAAGAGCAACUCAAUCCCAUAAUACGUGUGUGUGUGUGUGUGUGUGUGUGUGUGUGUGUGUGUGUGUGUGUGUGUGUGUGUGUCCGUGUAUUGUAACUUUGCACAAUACACAAAGAAGUUUCUUCUUCUUCUUUAAGUACCCAAUGUGUGGUGAAUGCGGGAGGUCAAAGGGCGAUUGUGUCAUAAGGGAACUGAAUUCCAUUCCAGAGGGGAUUGAGUUUGGACACUGAGAGUUCUGAGAGCCUUGGCAACAGUGAAGUGCGCUUGCUAGAGCCACAACGCUUUUGGUGGCAGGACAUAGCUACUGUACUCAACACACUUAGCUGGUCUGCUACACUCAAGGGCACUCAACAAGUGUACACUCGGGUGUUCACUACAGUACACUGAUCCACUACAGAUAUGAACAACACAAUGUGUUCCUCUUUUACAGUAACACCUGAGGGAAUAAACAGGAACAGAGAGCAGCCUAGCUCACCAUGUAAUAGCACCAAGAUAGUGGAGCCAACAACGAUAAAGGACCAUGUGACUCAAAGACAGAGAACGAGAGGGUCUGGAUUUUAGAUCAAACACCUUUGGGCCCUGGUCAGUUGGACGAGAGCCUACUUUCUGCUAAAGCCUCACCAGGAAAAACGGUGGCUUACACACUGGCUAUUUGGUAAUGUUUUGUGCAGGUACUUGUUUGACAUAUUACUGCAUUGUUAGGAGCAACUAACUUAAGCAUUUCUGUGCACCCUCUAUAACAUCUGCCAAACUGUGUACGCAACCAAUACACGUUGAUUUGGUUUGGCCUAUGGGGAAUCAACAGCAGAAAGGUCUUUACGAUAGAGAAGGAGAGAAACGGCAGACAAUUGGUCAGAAUAUGAACCUAUGAUGGAAAGGGUCAUCUAAGGAGAGUAGAAAGCAGCCAGUCAGACCUUGCUAGGGGGGUAUACACUACUAGAUAGUCCCGGUGACUUAGAGAGGAGACUUCUCACUGGUUCAGUGUCUCGGAGCAUCUGGAGAAGUGAGUUAGUGGUGGUGGAAGGGAGUGAAGGGAGUUUUGUAUGUCAGGCUCUCUCUCUGGCCAAAUCUGAUCUAGGAACAGUUCACAACCCGUAACUCCAUCCAAAUCGAAAGCAGAGACACAGAACAGGAGAGCAGGAGUAGGUGGGUGGCUCAAUGACCCCCCCCC
rnacentral:lncRNA from 13 species